rnacentral:rRNA from 1 species
AUUGAACGCUGGCGGCAGGCCUAACACAUGCAAGUCGAGCGGAUGAAGGGAGCUUGCUCCUGGAUUCAGCGGCGGACGGGUGAGUAAUGCCUAGGAAUCUGCCUGGUAGUGGGGGAUAACGUCCGGAAACGGGCGCUAAUACCGCAUACGUCCUGAGGUAGAAAGUGGGGGAUCUUCGGACCUCACGCUAUCAGAUGAGCCUAGGUCGGAUUAGCUAGUUGGUGGGGUAAAGGCCUACCAAGGCGACGAUCCGUAACUGGUCUGAGAGGAUGAUCAGUCACACUGGAACUGAGACACGGUCCAGACUCCUACGGGAGGCAGCAGUGGGGAAUAUUGGACAAUGGGCGAAAGCCUGAUCCAGCCAUGCCGCGUGUGUGAAGAAGGUCUUCGGAUUGUAAAGCACUUUAAGUUGGGAGGAAGGGCAGUAAGUUAAUACCUUGCUGUUUUGACGUUACCAACAGAAAAAGCACCGGCUAACUUCGUG